AUCUAAGUGUUCAUAUCAAUUGAAAGGAUAUUGCUAUUAUUGUAAAAAAAUUGUAAAUAAGAGAUGACACAACCAAUAGUUCAAGAAAGCAUGGAUCAAUUGCUGUCCAGCUUGACGAGACAUGUCAGAAUAUUUCUUAGGAACAUUUCCGUUCAUAACGAACGUGCGAAAAAUGAGACGGUCUGGCGGCUAUACCGAUCGAUGACGUUCUCAAGAUAUAUUUGACCGACAGUAUUGUCGCUUUUUGCCAAAAUUCGAUGGGAGAACGACAGAGAUUAGACGCGUACAAAAGACGAGUGAACUCCAAUGAUGACGCACCACCUGAGCAAGCACCCGCGGCCGGCUUUGACAUCAAUGACCCAGCCAUUGCAAGCAGCACAUUCGUGGUGAACGAUGAACAAAUCAAAGAUUGACUACAACUGAAAAAGUGCCAAAAGAUGUUUCAUAACAAAUUAAAAAUAAGUGAAAAGAAUUGAGUUUUGCGCUCCAAAUAAAACACAAUCCGAUAUUGAGUGUAUUUGAAUUAUGCGAAAAUAUAUUUCAGAAUUUAUUUCUCGCUCAUAAAGAAAUAUUGUUGUUUU